rnacentral:rRNA from 1 species
AUUGAACGCUGGCGGCAGGCCUAACACAUGCAAGUCGAGCGAUCGGCGGACGGGUGAGUAAUGUAUGGGGACUGCCCGAUAGAGGGGGAUAACUACUGGAAACGGUAGCUAAUACAGCAUACUAUCGGAUAACCCGUAGGGGCGUAGCUAGUAGGUGAGGUAAUGGCUCACCUAGGCGACGAUCCCUAGCUGGUCUGAUAGGAUGAUCAGCCACACUGGGACUGAGAAACUGCCCAGACUCCUACGGAGGCAGCAGUGGGGAAUAUUGCACAAGUGGCGCAAGCCUGAUGCAGCCAUGCCGCGUGUAUGAAGAAGGCCCGAGGGUUGUAAAGUACUUUCAGGCGGGAGGCGUUACCGACAGAAGAAGCACCGGCUAACUCAGUGCCAGCAGCCGCGGUAAUUC